UAAGGAAUAUUGGUCAAUGGACGCAAGUCUGAACCAGCCAUGCCGCGUGAAGGAUGAAGGUCCUCUGGAUUGUAAACUUCUUUUAUCUGGGACGAAAACGGGAUUUUUAUCUCAAUUGACGGUACCAGAGGAAUAAGCACCGGCUAACUCCGUGCCAGCAGCCGCGGUAAUACGGAGGGUGCGAGCGUUAUCCAGAUUUACUGGGUUUAAAGGGUGCGUAGGUGGGCUUAUAAGUCAGUGGUGAAAUCUCCGAGCUUAACUUGGAAACUGCCGUUGAUACUAUAGGUCUUGAAUUAUCUGGAGGUAAGCGGAAUAUGUCAUGUAGCGGUGAAAUGCUUAGAUAUGACAUAGAACACCAAUUGCGAAGGCAGCUUACUACAUAUAAAUUGACGCUGAGGCACGAAAGCGUGGGGAUCAAACA
rnacentral:rRNA from 1 species